UUGAGCACAACUGUUUACACCAUGUCUUUCUCAAGAGGAGGUGCUGGUGAAUGUCCCAGAACAGGGAGCUGCCACACAGCACAGGCAGUACGUACCCAACACACACACCCACAGCACUGUUUUGCAUCUGGCCUUGCCUGUGGUUCAUAUUUUCAGGCUUUAUUCUCUGGCUGAAAAACUAAAAUUAAAGGGUUUUAUAUUUAUUUUAAAAAAAUAAUAAAAAAACCCUCUCUGUAUAUUUCUCCUUUAUUUACAUCCACAGAACUGGAAUUCCCAGGGCAGGGUGAAACCCAGCUCGUAGGGGAUUUGUGAUAAAAAGGGUGAGAAUUGGCUUUGUUGAGAAAACAGGUUAGUUCCUCUGAUCUGUUCCAGCAUUUCUGCUGUUUUGGAAGCAGAGCUACCAGCCUGGCUUCCCCAAAACACCACAUCCUUCUGGCCCCAGUGCAGGAGUGGGGCUGAGGCCAGCAGCAAUCCCGGGGUGGCCUUGGACACCUUCCUGCUGCUCUGCCUAUGGCCCUGCACUGGGGGAAGUGAGUGGGGAAGGAGGAAACAUUACACCUAUCUCAUGCUGAUGGGGUGAGGUUAAAGGCUCAGAGGCUGCAAGGGCAGCUGCAUUUCAGUGGAGCAAAAAGCCAGCAGUUCGGUGGAGGAAAGGGAAAGCUGGGGAAGAGGGAAGCCAGGGAAUGCUUCCCCUCUGGGGGCAGUAGAACUUUCUUUUGAAGACUAGAAGCAGAGUGCCUUUGAAGUCUGUUUCAAACUGAGUACAUAAGAGCUCUCAGGGUGUUCACAUAACAGAGAUGCCUGGCAAUAGUUCCAGGGAUUGUGCAAGGACUGCCAUGAAGUCAACCAAGAAUGAGAUGAAGGAGCCACUCCCCAGCCAGAGCAGUGGGGUGGGACUGCCAGCCAGGGACCUGUCCUUCACCAUCUGACAGGGUUAGGUGGAGCAGCUGGAAAACCACUCUCCACAGCACAGAGCCCUCAUUCCCACCCCAGAAGAGCCUGCCCACAGACAGGGGAGCUGCUGCCCACCUUUAGUGAAUUAUUAGAGCCGAGCUCCCUUCAACCCCUUCAGCCAGUAUUGUAUGGGCCAAAGAAAAUUUUAAUGUUUCUUUUUUUAACCCAUUUGUAGAACUUCUUUGAACCCCUGGUCCUUAUGGGACACCCAGAUGCCUUUGGGAGCCUCUGGCCACACCAGCCAUGACCAUGGCAAUGCCUUUCUGGCCUACUGUGGUUUCUCUGUCUGAACACCAGCAUGUCCAGCAUCCAGCUGGAAGACACUCAUCCCAGGCCACCCACUGGGUCCAGUGAUAAACAUGAUGGGUGUCUGGGGCACAGGGACAGCCUGCAAGGGCCACCUAGUGCUUUGUGAGUGGCAUGUGCUGACACGAGUACCCACAGCAGCCAGCUCCUCAUGGCCAGAGGAGGGGACUCCAGAGUAGGAGAGCAGCUGAACUGGUGACUGUUGUGUGGGUGGGACAGAAAGCAGUACAUUAAGGCUGUUGGUGGAUUUCCAACCAGCCCACAUGGAUGUGAAAUUACUCUUUAUUUCCACAGUAAUCAAGAUUUAUGAGAGCUACUGAUGUGCCUCGUGCGGAUGCAGCACCUCUCCAUGUUGCCAGCACAGACUUACACCCAUGCAUAUCUUUAGUUCUUCCUCUGCAUCCAGUAGAUGCUGCCUUGAUGUGAUUCUCAUGGCAUGUCACAUGUAUUGUGCAAAGAAAUGUGGAAAAUAGGUUUUCUUAUGAGUGCUGCUGCACGUGCCACAAACAGCUGGACCUGUUCUACGUGUUUGGGAUGGCUUGCACAAUCUGUUUCCAAUGCAGAGUUCAAACACUUCUGAUACAUUCAUGAAGAAAAAUGGAGCAAGGUUUUAUGCUUGCUAAUGCCACACCUCAAGUAGUUUUUUCUUUAAAAUGGUGAUAUUUUUAGGGAACAAUAAAUUCUGGAUUGUUGUUAUCUUAAUAUUUCUGACUUAGAAGCCUUCAAUAUGCAGCUAAUCUGAGUUCUCAUAUUUUCUUUGUGAAUAUGAGUGCUGGAUACUUUCCUAUUAAUCUGGAAAGAUUUUACUCUUUCAUAACUAUGAGUGUGCAGGAGUUUGGCCUUUACAAAAACAUCAUAUCUUUGAAACUCUUUACGAUAACAUGACAAGAUGUAGCCCAGCUACAAAAUUUAAAAAAUAACUUUGUCUUUAUGCCAUUUAACAAAACAAAACAAGAUUAUUUUAUCUUUUAUUUUGUGUAUACCUUUAAACUGAGUCAAACCAGGAAAAGUUCAGUCUUCUCAGAAAAGAUUUCACAAGAUUUUACAUGUAACUAAAUAGAGGGUUGUACUAUAGUACAUAAAUCACAGUAUUUUCUACACAAAAGCUUGUUGGGUAAUAGAAGAUAGCUCAGCAGGUGGCUGAUGACAGGAACAGGUUAAAGUUCAGAUUCAUUUCAAAGAACAUGAUACACAGGUUAAAAAGAAAUACUAUAAGUAGUGGUUCAGUAAGAAAAUUUGCAGGAAAGCCUGUAUAAUUACAAAUGUUUUAUUGAGCAUUCUGGAGAAAUACAUGCAGUUAUGCUAAAGACUGAAUGGCAAAUUAGAUAGUGGUGAGUAUUGAGUUGUAUUACUAUGUAUUACAAGCCUUAAGCACAAAUCAUUUUUUAUUCUUGCUGCCUCCUAACUGAGGGUUUAGAGGAAAAAAGCAGCACAAAGGCUUUAAUAACAAAUUUUGUCUUUCUAAUGACAUGGCUGCACACAUUGCUGCCUAGCCAAGGGGAGGCAGAAUUGUCUCUUGAAAGUAGCAUUACAUUAGUUCCUUUGGUUUUAACUCAAAAUCCAGCCAAACUUUCUGUGUGUCUUGACAGGGUUUGCUGGCUGAAUGAGCUGUCACAUGUCUGAGUGGUUUAGCUUAAUUUGAAAGACAGUUUGGAAGCUGUGUGAACAUGUACCCAUAGUGGACAAUUAUAUAAAAAUUUGCCUACAGGGGUAGCUAACUGUAACCACAGUUAUUCACAGUGUGGCUUGGACUUUGGUAUGUGAAAGGGUUGUUUAUUGGUAAUUACCAUUGAUAAUCACAUGGCAAAGUACAGGCUACCAGCACCACUCAUGUGCUGUACAGCCAAGGAGCACCUCACCAAGGACACAGGAAAACUUCGGUCUCUUCUGAGUAUCACUGGGGUUUUUGGUCUGAGGGUAUCUUGUGACAGGGAUCUCAUGUACACAUGUCACGGGCCUGCAUGAACAUCAUGCACUUCAUGCUUCAGCAAAAAGGGAGUUAGAACUUUGCCCCACAGUUUGUCAAGAGUUUGUCAAUGUGGUCACCAUUUUACCAGGUAAACAGAGAAAUUCAGAGCACAAAUACUGUCUUUGAGUCUUCAGUCUAAAAGCCUUAAUCACAGGUCAACAGGAGAGCACCUGAAGGGCAGCACAAAGAAAUUCCAGACACUCCAACCAGAGAGUUGGUUUCACUGGGGACCUGACUUCGCUGCCCUGUGCAAAUGCACACAGCAGGGGCACAAACAGGAGGAGACAGAGACAUGCACACACCUGCAGAGCUGUGAUCUUGUGUCCUGGGAUGUCUGCUGUGAGAGGAGUGUUGGAAUGGAAGGACAGGCAGGAGAGAUGAGGACAGGGUGUUACACUCUAUGCCAGUGACCAGCUGGAGUGUGUGGAGCAAAGUCUGGGGGGAGAGAGGAGCCAACCGAGAGCCCGUGGGUCAGGAUUAAAGGGAGGGCAGGGACAGGUGACACUGUAGUGGGGGUCUGCUACAGCUGCCAGGCCAGGAAGCACAUGAGGUCCUCUAUGGUUGUUCUCACAUUCAGAUGUCCUGGUGUUCAUGGGGUUCUACAUCUACCCCAGUACCUGUUGGAAGGACAACACAACAGAGCAUAAACAAUCCAGGAGAUUCCUGGAAUGCAUUGAUGGUAACUCCUCCAAGAGAUAGGGGAGCCAACCAGGAGAGGUUCUAUGCUGGACCUUGGUCUCACCAACAGGUAGGACCUGGUGGGGAAUGCAAAUCUCCAGGGCAGCCUGGGCUGCAGUGACCAUGAAGUGGUGGAGUUUGAGAUGCCCAGGGUGGUGAUUAGGGUGCACAGCAAGCUCCAUACCCUGGACUUCAGCAGGGCAGAUUUUGGCUUAUUCAGGGAUCUGCUUGUUAGAGUGCCAUGGGAGAAAGUCCUGGAGGAAAGAGAAGCCUGAGAAAGUGGGUAAUAUUCAAAGCUCACUUCCUCCAAACUCAGGAGCAAUGUAAAGAGGAAGUCAGCAGGACUGGGAGAAUGAAGAACUGCCCACUUUUGGAGAAGAUCAAGUUUCAGACCAUCUAAGGAACCUGAAGGUGCACAGGUCCAUGGAACCUGAUGAGAUCCAUCUGUGGAUCCUGAGGUGGAGGAAGUGGACCCUGUGGAACAAAGGGGAAGGAGGCUUGAACAGCUGCCAGACACAGUGGAGCAGGGCUUGCCCUCUCCUUGCAUGGGUGUAAAGGGAGUCCAGCACCACUCAGUUUGAAGGGGCAGAUUUGCAAGGCUGCCCAGAGGAGUCUGCCCUGUGACUGCUAAUGCUGUAGUCACCAUACAAAUACAGGAUUCCCAUCAUUCAGUACCUUCCAGAAGGCUGAACAAAAAGUUGAAAUCAUGGUGGUGAAGAGGGAAAUGGGAAGGACAGAGGAAGGAUGAGGAUACUAUUAGGAAGAACAUAAUGAAAAAUCCAUCAUGUUGGUUAACUGUAUCCUUAAAGCAAAAUAUAUGUUGUGCAACUGUGACACAUUCAAGUCUGAACAGCUGGUUUUGGUGAGAGGCAGCAGAAAUUAAUUUCCCGUGCAGCUUUUGUAUUAAUAAUUCCUCUCAUUAAGGUGUGGUCUAAUAGUGUUUGCACAGGCACAGGAGUCAGCCCUAAUAUUGUUUUUGACAGCCAUCUCUUCUACAGACAUCUACAAUUCAUGUGUCCUUCUUGCCUCAAUUUCUCUGUACAAGAAAGGGAAAGAACUGCAUAAGCUUUGGUUAAGAUCUGUAAAGUAGCUGGCUACUACACUGUUACUACUCUUUAGCCUUUUGCAACAACAUGAAGACAGCAUAACAUUCAGGUAUCCUGAUCACAUUGGGUUUAUUUCAAAGCAUCAGUGAAUCAGGCCCAAGGGCCAGGUUUAGAAGCUCAAGAUUCUGACCCACAGGAUCAAGUCCCUUGCAAAAAACUACAGGACCUGGCUAACCCUGGGUGAUAUUUAACAACCCAAAGACCCAGUAAGGUCUUGUCCUGCUAAGACUUAUUUUAUUAUUCAUACUGUGCUGGAUUUUAAUACUAUUACUAUAAAUGAUUGAACUAAAUUACAUUAUUGUAAAGACUACUUUCUGGUCUCUUUUCCCCCUCAUCUCCAUUAUUUAAUAAUUCCUUUAAUACAUAGAAGGACUUCCAGUUGUCAGUGUGAACUUUCAAGAUUUUACUGCAAAACAGGUGAUCCUAACUUUCAGUUAACCAACAAAUCCUCAAAAACAGUGACAUAAAAAGCAUAUUCAUUCUUAGUGAUAUCCACUGAUUUGGAUCAUGAAUCUGUUUAAGAUCAUAUAGUGGAGGUUUUCCCCAGAGAUGUGUUUUAGCCCUGUACAUUUUCAUGUGCUUUCUUCUAGUCUAGCAGUACUGGUCCAGUGGGGAUCUAAUGUGUAUUUGUGCUUUAUGGGAUACAAUACAAUAUGUAUGUGUAUAUCAGAAUAUAUAUGACUCUGAUAUGACCAUCUUAGUACAGACAGAAGUUAUAUUAGUACAAAUUACAGCAUUCCUCAGGCCCAGAAGAUAAAUAAUUGUAUGGGUAAAAGCAUAUUUUUGUUGUAUAACACAACCACUCUGUCCUGCCAGGAGCAGAGGAAAUGAUACUGCUUUGUUAACAAUGAUAUAGUUAACACAGUAAAAAUUUUAUGAGUAAAAAGCAUUAGUACAUAAUGAAAUUAUUUCUUUCUUUCUUCAUCACAUAUUGUCGUUCUAUUUCCACUGAAUCCUCUGCUCAGCUCCAGAUAUGAUAAUUUUAUCUUAUGUUUCUUUUAUUUUAUUUUCUCCUGUACUGUUCAUUCAUUUUCUGGAAGGUAGAUGGAAAACACCAACCUCCUUUCUUCUUGCUUCAGAGGUGCCUCAUGCUGCUUUUCCUCUUAUGCUGAUCAGCUCCAGAAAUAACCCUGCAGAGCCAUUGCUUGGCUUUGAUUCGAGAAAUCCCUCUUCCUUCUCCACCCUGUCCUUUCUGGUUUCUCUACCUUCUCUCCACAGACAUCAGACUAAACCAGUCUGUUUCCUUUCCUUAUCUGGUGUUAUUCUAAUCACAUAAACAUCACCUUGCACUCUCUUCUUCCUUCUCAACUUUGAGAUUACUUCCCGCCAUCCUGUCAUGAGCCCAGUGAUAAUUUCCUUCAGCAGCUUGCUUUCUUCUCCUCAGUUAUUAGAAGCAAAGGCUCCCCUGUUGCAUAUUUUUAGCCCACAAGUUAAGAGUGGCUCAACACUUUCCUUUAUUCAUUGUUAUUUAACCAAAAGUCUUAGUGAUGGGAAGAAAAUAGAAGGUAUUUUAAAUGUCUUUUGUAGGCUUGACUGGUUUCCAAGACCUACAGCUUAAAAUGAGAAGCCAGUCAGAGAAAAAACUACUUUCAGAAAGUUCUUAAAAAUCAAGAUAUAAUAGUUUUUAGAAAUUUCAUUUUAUUUGUAGCAAAGACCUCUCAAAAGAUGACAAUGGAAAAGCCUAAGGCUCAUGUAAGCCCAAGGCACCAAGCAGAAAAUACAAACAGAAGUUUCACUUUGCUAAGUAGAAAGCUGGAAGCACUGUAUACAUUAAUGUUGAAGAGUUUAGUGGUUACGAGAGAAAAUGGAGUGAUUAUUGCUGAUGUGUGAAUGUUGCUGACAUAAUUUCCAUCAGCAACAGCUCAUGAAAUCAGUUGCACAGGAGUUCUAUUACCUUUCCUGUAUCAAAAGAUACUGGAGUACAUAGAGUUAGUGGGACACACAGUUCAUAGAAAGACACGGACAAGCAAAAAACUAUAGUGAAAAUCUGUAGACUUAUAUGAGCCAAAAUAUCCCCAUUUUUCAAACUGUUGUAUGAAUGAAUAUAUCAAUUUUGCUCAUUAUAUUGUAUACAUUAUAUCCUGUUUGCCUAAUAUUUAGGCUUCAUGGUGUGUCAAAAAUGACUGAAUAAAUUGUGGCUUGUA